CAUUGAGCCUUGAUGUGUAGGAUAGGUGGGAGGCUUUGAAGUGUGGACGCCAGUCUGCAUGGAGCCGACCUUGAAAUACCACCCUUUAAUGUUUGAUGUUCUAACGUGGACCCGUAAUCCGGGUUGCGGACAGUGUCUGGUGGGUAGUUUGACUGGGGCGGUCUCCUCCUAAAGAGUAACGGAGGAGCACGAAGGUUGGCUAAUCCUGGUCGGACAUCAGGAGGUUAGUGCAAUGGCAUAAGCCAGCUUGACUGCGAGCGUGACGGCGCGAGCAGGUGCGAAAGCAGGUCAUAGUGAUCCGGUGGUUCUGAAUGGAAGGGCCAUCGCUCAACGGAUAAAAGGUACUCCGGGGAUAACAGGCUGAUACCGCCCAAGAGUUCAUAUCGACGGCGGUGUUUGGCACCUCGAUGUCGGCUCAUCACAUCCUGGGGCUGAAGUAGGUCCCAAGGGUAUGGCUGUUCGCCAUUUAAAGUGGUACGCGAGCUGGGUUUAGAACGUCGUGAGACAGUUCGGUCCCUAUCUGCCGUGGGCGCUGGAGAACUGAGGGGGGCUGCUCCUAGUACGAGAGGACCGGAGUGGACGCAUCACUGGUGUUCGGGUUGUCAUGCCAAUGGCACUGCCCGGUAGCUAAAUGCGGAAGAGAUAAGUGCUGAAAGCAUCUAAGCACGAAACUUGCCCCGAG
rnacentral:rRNA from 2 species